rnacentral:rRNA from 1 species
ACGCUCGACACCUACGUGAGGCAGCAGUGGGGAAUAUUGCACAAUGGGGGAAACCCUGAUGCAGCGACGCCGCGUGGAGGAAGAAGGUCUUCGGAUUGUAAACUCCUGUUGUUGGGGAAAAAGAGGAUGGUACCCAACAAGGAAGUGACGGCUAACUACGUGCCAUCAGCCGCGGUAAUCUGAGCGGGCUGGCAAGGC